CACACCUCAGAUUUACCCCACUGAGGGGCGGUAGAGCUGGAGUAUUUAUAUACCAACUCCUAAGAGCCAGUGGUUGAGGGCUGUUCCUGAAGGAAUUCCCUGGUUUCUCUGAGAGGGGGCAAUGCCCUUAGGCACCCAAGAUGCAGAUAUUGGCAGUUGGAAGUUGGCAGGAAGUUCUGAGAGACUCCGGCAGGGCAAGGACAAGCUCUGGCUACCAAAAGAAAUGAUUAUUUUUUUCACAUGCUGAUUUUGGAGACCUGCAUUUGGCUGCCAGACCAUAACUGUGAAAAUGGCAAUCAGCUGAAAUAUAGAAGAAUAAAUAUAAAAGAAGUUACAUGUAUAAGGAGAAGGGUCUUCAUGCCCUUAGGUCAGUAUCCAUACUUGCCUCACAGCAGUCACAGUUCAACCAAGAUGAACCCAUAUCCUCAGAGAAGGCCCAGAACUUGUUUGCCUUCUGCAACUGAGGGAACCUGGUCUAGGACAGAAAAUAAGGACGAACAGCUGCCCAAGAUAUUCCACAAACAUCCCAUUAGCCCUUGUCCUGACGACAGCCCAUCCAUGCUUUCUGAAUUUGGCAUCAGCAGAACCUUCCAUACAUCACUAAAGAACAAAGACAGCCUUGCAUUUGGUGUUAAUGGCACAAUACUCAGGUCACAUGUGCUGUAAGAUGUUUACAGACCUCCACUGUGAAAAGAGAAUGUGAUGGACAGCAAGAAUUUAUAUAUUAUUUCUCAGAGAGGACGAUGGAUUUCACAAGAAAAAACUCUCAAAUGAUAUACGGGCAUCCAGUCUGUAAGUCAGGGCUGCCUGAACAGGAAGCAAAUUUAAUUUAUAACUAAUCAUGAUUACUUAUCUCUAUAGGGAAGAAAGGCAAAAUUGAAUUGCACAGGGAGUAUCCAAGCUUAUUUCUUGACUGUGGUAUCCCUGCGCAGCCCUACCUAUAUCAUUUUUAAAACAGCAGAAUUGCCUUAAACAAAAUUAGAAGUUAUGAAUUUCAUUUCCUUUUAUUUCUCCUGCAUUUCUUAGCUCCUGGCCACUGAAACAAGCAGCAAAGGGAGGAACCAGGAAUUCAGUGUACUUAAGGAAUCCAUAAACUAGAUUUUGAAAAUGCCUCUCAAUAUUUGUGAUUUGAUUAAGGUAAUGCAUCUCAUGUUACAGAGGCUACAUUCUGAAAAGCAUAAAUUUUGACUGUCACUGAUUACCAGGUUUAAAAUAGUAUCCUGUGUCUGGAGUUUGGGGCUAUGAUUACAUUCCUUCCACAAUGGCCAUCAUUAUCACCAUCAUCAGUAUCAUCACACAGAAUCGCAGCUUGCCCAUGUUACACAUGACCUGAUUUUGCCUUGCCCGAGCU
rnacentral:lncRNA from 1 species